UGCGGUCUGCACUUCUCGACAGGAACCACAAUCCCCGGGGCCAUACACGAUCUCAAGGGAACUGUCCCUGGCCGGACCCGUGGGUCCGGACAUACGGUGCCCACCUACCUAGUAGGUACCCGGGAUCGUAAAAAAUCCAUCGGUCGUUGUGGAUCGCGC
rnacentral:other from 20 species